AAAAGCAGAUAGAGGAAAAAGUCAAAAAUGAAUCUCCACUCGUCAGUGGAUGAUAUUGAAGCGUUUUUUUCUUAUGAGGGUAGGAGAGAGAGAGAGAGAGAGAGAGAGAGUGACCUGUUUGAAGUUUAAAAGAACCCUGGAUAAAAUGAGUAUCAAACUUUCUGAAAAAAAUCUGUCAUGUUUGUUCUCUUUAACCCUCCCUUCCCUCGUUCUCUCUCUCUCUGAUGGAUCUUAUCUCUUCCAUUUCAGAAGCUGGGGCAAGGGACGUGUGGAGAGAGGAAGGUGUCACCUUUUAGAAAGCGAGAGCGAUGCUCUUCAUGUCGGAAAUAGGAGUUUAGACUUUCUCAUUACGAGCAGCUCCACAGGUUCAGCUCCACCUUCUUCAAUCUGGACCCUCAACGGCAGCACUUAGUGGUGAAUGAAUUGGAACGCGAGUGACUGCCGUGAAAGGAGGAAGGAGAGAGGGAGUGAGAGAGGGAGAGAGCGAGUGAAUGUGAACGCUAAUAGAGAAGGUGUCACUUGAGUGUGGAGUGGGGGGUUUCACACGUUUAGAGCACAGAGACGUGGCGAAAAAGGAAGAAGAAAAGAUUUUUCGCACCCCCACUUUCCAUCAGGAGCAACUGUUGCUCUCCGGCCAAAUCUUGGUCAAAUGUUACACCAUCUUAAAUUUCCUGCACCAUGGCUUCAGGUCAAAUCAUCACUAAGCAUUUGAUAUUGUGGCCAUAAUUUAAGUGAAAAGGUCUCGAGCUCCGAUGUCCAGAGCUAGGAGAAAAGCCUUCUCAAAGCGCUGGUGCCUGAAAUGAAGCAGUACAUCGUUGGAGGGUUACUGAGCAGAUAUCCAGAGGUCUCAAUGUUAUUCAUUCACUGGGGUUGGAUAUACAGAUGGGUGAUGUGUUAAAGGAGAAACCAACUUAAAGUGUGUUAGUAAGGUGUUAGGCCAUGUCAGGCCACCAGAACAGCUUCACUGUGCCUUGGCAUACAUACUACAAGUCUGUGAAAGUGUACUAGAGAGAUAAACACUGUUAUUCCAAAAGAUAUACCCUCAGUUGGUUGGUGUUUUGAUGAUGGUGGUGGUGGAGAACAUUAUCUAAAAUCUCACAUACGUUCAACUAGGUUGAGAUGUGGUGACUGUGACGGUCAUAGCAUAUGAUUUAAAUCAUUUUCAUCCUCAUCAAACCAUUCAGUGAGCCUCUGUAGUGGGGGUGGAGUCAUGUGAAAUGAAUGUGAAAUGCACCAAAUAGUGCAAUAAUUUGAGGCUUGGUUCCUUUCUAAGAAUGUGUUCACACACCACCAGAAACAAGGAUGUGUGCAUACAUACAUGUAUAAGUAACUGGUAGUGAAAAUUAGUAUUUAGUAAUUAGAAAGUAAUUAGUACAAGUAAUUAAUAGUGAUGCAUUAACUUGGGAAAAUAUGUUAAAAAAAUAAAAACAUAGAAAAGGGCAGGCGGUCAAAAGAACAGGUUGCUGUUGAAAUGGUCUGAGAUUAGUUGUAUGUAGAGCUGUGUGUGUGUGUGUGUGUGUGUGUAUGUAUACCUGAGCAGG